GGGAAUGUGGCUUAGUGGUAGAGUGCUUGCCUAGCAAGCAUGAAGCCCUGGGUUCGAUUCCUCAGUACCA
rnacentral:tRNA from 1 species